UACGUAGGAUCCGAGCGUUGUCCGGAAUCACUGGGCGUAAAGGGCGCGUAGGUGGCCUGGUAAGUCUGUGGUGAAAGCCCGGAGCUCAACUCCGGGUCUGCCAUGGAUACUGCGAGGCUUGAGUGCUGUAGAGGGGGGUAGAAUGCCGGGUGUAGCGGUGGAAUGCGUAGAGAUCCGGCAGAAGACCGGUGGCGAAGGCGGCCCCCUGGGCAGUAACUGACACUGAGGCGCGAAAGCGUGGGGAGCAAAC
rnacentral:rRNA from 1 species